rnacentral:lncRNA from 1 species
CUUGAAAUAUGCCUUAAACUACUCAACCACCAUAUUGAAUCAAGCACAUGAUCUAUUUAGCAAUGCUGAAAUCUAAAACUAUUUAACUGAAGUGAUUUGGUAGCCACACAAUGCAUCUUUCACACAUGUAUGAGAUACCAACCAAUAUCAUCCAAUGAAAUAUCUAAAUAGAGUUACCAUGAACAAUACACGAGAAGAUGAACUAACUUAAACACUCGUAUGUGAGAUUCCCUAAACAAAAGACUGUUGACUAUCAUGCAAAUCAGAAAUGCAAAAACAACAAACUAAGAAGAUUCCAAAAUACUAAGCUACUUGAAGAAAAAUCAGACAUAAAAUGAAACUGAGGCUUAAACACUUGAGUGUAAAAUUUCAUUUAACCAUCAGCUCUAAUGUUACAGGUAUCACUAUAUCCACUUCCAUUCCAGGGAUUCGAAAAUGUACCUGGAUAUAGCGAAAACAAACCAAAAAAUGUGCUUGGAGUCAGCUAUUAACAGCAAAGCAGUAGCAGAUUCACAACAAAGAACAAUAUCAUAGAUUCACUCAAACAGCAUCAUAAAACCAAGCCUCACAUUAGCUUAGAAAGCAUAGAAAUUUCCCAAAAUAUACCACUUUGAAACUUUGUCCCCAAAGAAAGAAAAAAGAUCCAGCUCUACUCCAGCUUAGAAAACCAGGAAUUCUCUUGCAAAUCCUUUUAAGCCUUAAAAGAAAAACAGAGAUGCAAUCCGAGCAAAAAGCCUUUUUUAAAAUGCAGAAACCUUUUGAGUCUUUUUUUAGGGUAUGAGUCUCUGAUGUAUUUUUUAAAACUUUUUAGGCAGAAGAUGAUGUUGAAUCUCUUUGUGAGUGAGGGAAAGUUUUUCUUUUAUAGAGUGUACAAAAAAGCAUCAAAAAAGAAAUAUUCUGACCUAAUUUCUAGACUGCAGAAUAGUACAUCUUUUAUACAGCUGUCUGUCCUUUUUCUUAUCCAUUACCAGCAUUUUCAUGCUAAGAAUGGGGACAUCUGCCAUAUUCUAGUACAUUAUGAUAUUUCCUCAUUUAGAACCCCCAAUUUACCCUUCUAAAAUCAUGUUUAUUGCAAUUUUAACCUAUGUUAUGAUUAUUUGACUACCCUUUAAACCCUUCUAGAACCUCCUAGAACCAACUAGGCCAUUCAACCUUGGAUUCCCUAAAUUGAUUUUCCAAUUAACCCCUUAAGUUUCUCAAAAUUACCCUAUCAAACUCCUUCAAUUCCAUACGACAUUCAAAAAUCAGAAACCAAACCAAUUAAGGCUAAACCAAAACCAAACAAACUAAAAUCAAACCAGUUAAGGCUAAAUCAGAUAUAAACCAAACCAAAACAAACUGAAAUCAAACCAAUUAAAGCUAAAUCAGAUAUAGACCAAAAUAGAAUAUUAAACCAAAACAGAAGCAAACCCUUAAUUGAUCUACUAAGUUGAACAUGACUGAUUAACCUAAACGCAUUUAACUACACUUAAUUAAAGCAAUUAACUAAAUAAGCCUAUUUUACUGAAAAUUAAACGAAUCAACAAACAAAACAAACAAGAUUAACACCUAAAAAAAUGAAGAAACAGAAACAAAAAGGAAAGUAUACUGAUUUUGGCGACGAACGAAGCGAGCCAAUGAGCGAUGAUGAAGUUGGGUCGGCCAGUGGUGAAUUGGUCAAAGAUCGAUGACAUUGAAAUGGGUAAGGACUAAUGCAAAAUUAUUGCUCUUAUCAAGAGCAAUCGACUCAAAUGAGUCUCGACCCAAAAUGAAUAGAAAUCCCCAAGCAAAUUGCACAAGGUCGAACUAGGGUUUUUUUCUGGAUGUUUAGAUCUAAAAUUCAUCGAUUUUGGUGGGGUUUCUAAUAUAACUUAAAGGAGAUAUGAGAUGAGGGGGGUGUGGUGGUUGUCCGGUUAGAAGAUGGACGGGUUUGGAGAGGUUUGAGUAAACUAGGGUUCGGUCUUAGAUCUGAAAUUGGAGAGAUUUGAGAGGGAUUCGAGGGAAUUGGUUUGGGGAUUCGGAAAGAAGAGGAGGUGAGGAGUAUCUGGCGUGAAUUUGGAGAGGUUUGGGGCACCAAAACCGCUGUGAGGCGAUUUUUGGUGGGUGGUUGAUGGCGGAGGAGGCGGAGGAAAUUGGGGCGGCUAGGGUUUCCUUAGGUUUGGUUGAAGGAGAUGAACUGAAGGGUUUCGAAUGGGGGGGGUUCUAAUUCAGAC